rnacentral:rRNA from 1 species
CCUACGGGAGGCAGCAGUGAGGAAUAUUGGUCAAUGGGCGGAAGCCUGAACCAGCCAAGUCGCGUGAGGGAUUAAGGCCCUGCGGGUCGUAAACCUCUUUUGCCGGGGAGCAGAGGUCCGGACGUGUCCUAUUUUGUAUGUACCUUAUGAAUAAGGAUCGGCUAACUCCGUGCCAGCAGCCGCGGUAAUACGGAGGAUCCGAGCGUUAUCCGGAUUUAUUGGGUUUAAAGGGUGCGUAGGCGGCCUUUUAAGUCAGCGGUGAAAGUCUGUGGCUCAACCAUAGAAUUGCCGUUGAAACUGGGGGGCUUGAGUAUGUUUGAGGCAGGCGGAAUGCGUGGUGUAGCGGUGAAAUGCUUAGAUAUCACGCAGAACCCCGAUUGCGAAGGCAGCCUGCCAAGCCAUGACUGACGCUGAUGCACGAAAGCGUGGGGAUCAAACAGGAUUAGAUACCCUUGUAGUC